ACCCGCAGAGCACCCCGGGACUACGAAUCCCGCCGUCCCCCGCGCCGGCCGCCCCGGCUUCCGGGUUCUGGUUUAAAUCCCCCCUCGGAGGCUGCGGUGCGGGGUGUGGGUUAAAGGACGAUGCUGUGGUGGGGGACGGGUCCGCGGGGAGCGGGACUCAGUGCCCGGGCCCCGGCUUCCCUCAGCGCCAUCGGGGAGCGGCGCGGCCCUGGGGAAGGGUUGAGGGGGUUCCCGUCAGGUCCCGGGGACAAAGGCGGGGAGAAGCCUGAGCUAGGCCCCGCGGCCUGGCCGGCUGCGGCCCGGGGCCUGCUGGUUCUGCGGGCGCCGAGCGGCUCCGCCGGCGGCCGUGUGUCCGCAGGGCGCUUGACUGUAUGCGAAGGGAGGGCAAAGUGCGUUUAGUGGCCUCCGUGGCGAAGGCAGAGCAGGGAGCGUGCAGGAGCCAGAGAUAGUAUCCAGCUACAUUUUGUCCUCAAAAGCCUCCUCUCUCCCUCUGCAGCUGACCUCCAGGACACUCCCUGGUUUCACAGAUGAGCUCAGUCCGAGUGGUUUAUUCAUGGAAAAUCGGGAGACAGUCUUCAAAAUGCCCAUCAUCUUUGGACUUCUAAAGCUGCGUUCCUGCUUGAAGGGAAGUAACUUCCUGAGAAGAAAACCAGCCAGAAAGCAAUGGAGACCUGGGGUCACUGGAGGUACCUAACAGCCCUCUGGAUGCCUUGGAAGUAACAGCUUUGGGAGGGCUUAGAUACAAAGGCACAGACUGGCCUAAGACCCAUAUAAAUAUAGUUGUUGAAGAUGGUUUUGAUGCCUCUCAACUUACCCCAGCUAUCUGAUAGCUCAGCAUGUAGCCCACACCAGUCUUUCCUCCCUGUGGAGACAGAGUGUCACCUUCCAGGAACAAUUUCUUCCAGACCAAAACAGCUCAGCUGGUUAACACCUGCUCCUUGCUGUCUGGUGCCCUCUGGUGCUGCAAAUACCUGUCCAGGCAACAUCCCGUCACACCCUUACGCAGUUGUGGGAACCAGCGUGUACCCCAUCAGGAGCACCCGUGAACUGGUGUAGGGCUGGAAGUGAGAAACCUGAGGUCUGGCUCUGUGAUGGCCUUCUGCACACCUGCGAGCAAGUUACUUCCGUCAUCUUGCUGCUCCUGCAGUCUCCCCACGCCUGGUACAAAAGGUUGACUUAUUUGCAACAGAUGAAGAAAUUCUGGGACAGUUCAUUGUCUGCUUCUGCAUUUGUUCAGUCUUCCUCUCUGGACUCUGUGAUGGCUGCAGAGAUACUGAAAGGAUGAUGUCAGAAGAGUGGGAAGUGAAAGCUGAUGGGAAUUUUAGUCAGAUGCUUUAUACUGUUGACUUUUAAAAAAAAUAAUCAUAGAAUCAAUGUCUACAUAGCUGAAAUGCUGAUUUAGCAUUUGGGAGAAAGAAUGUGGGACACCAGAGCAGUCACAUCACUGGCUGGUGUUAACAGAGGUAUUUUUUAGAGGGCUAAAGCACCUUUGCUGUCUUUCUUCACACCACAGAGACACCCCCACUGGCUGAGGUGCAAGGUGCAAUUGUACGUUUGCUAUCCUGUACAGUAAUUUUAUCACUGCCUCUGUGUGUUGAGCUUGUUGCUUGUGUCUGUUACCUGUGUACGGUAAAAAUAAAACUUUAAUAAUAUACUGUUGCUUAGUAGUAAGAGGAUAGAGACCAGUCAGAAACACAAAGAUGCACUUUACUGAAAAUGGGACUAAUUCAGCUGCAUUUGACUUAAAGUGCAUAAGUAAGCUCGAAAAGGGAGGAUUGCAAAAUCUGUGUGUCCAUGGCAAUGCCAUCCUUCAGUGUUACCUAACAGGGUUGGGAUUACAUCAUCAGAACAAAUUUCAUCACAGUUUGGUUAUGUGACACUAUUUUGAGCUCAGCAUGGAAGUGAUGCUUUUAUGCAAAUUCAUCCCCUGUGGAGUAUUGCAAACACUAUCAGAAACUCCAUCCAAGCAUAGCUUGCCACAAGGUGCCUUGGCAGAGAAGGCCACACCACCCAAAAAUAUCAAAUGAAAAAUUCGGGAGCUAGGGGAUCGGGUCAGACUUUCUCUUUGAAGUCACCAAAGCGGGACUUUCUUGGCCACGUUGCUCGGAAGAGUUUCAGGAACAAAUAGUACCAGUAGUUCCCACAUCAACAUCCUUCUGUUUUGGGUCUCAGCAUUUCACAUGGUGGUGAAAGAUGGAUACCUAGGUACUUGAGUGCUUGUAAGGUUUGAAAUAGAGGUGUGCUGCAGGCAGGGGAGAGAAGACCAAGAACUUUCUUUGGUUUUGCCUGGGUAGACAAAUGUUUCUAUUAUGUUUUCACUACUCUGGUAGCACAUCCAGCUUGCAUCUGUGCCAGAAGACUUAUAUGUGGGCUGUUUGCCUAGUGGUAGUGGUGAUGGUCACAGGGUUGUAGCAAGAUGCAACGUUUCUUCUCAGGCUGAGGGAUACAGUGGAAACUGUCCUCCAGGUCAGGCCUAGGAUCACCAAAAGGCCAGGGAAGCCACGAAGCUUCUGCGGCCCGAGCAGCACCGCGGGGCUGGGGGCAGCAGGAAUAAAUGAGUGACUGUGAAAGGUGUGACCUGCACCUGCUGUUCCCCUUCUCCUGGCCAGGGGCAGGGGCUGAGUGAGAAACUGCCGUGGAACUGUAGCAAAAGGCUCAGUGCUUGUGCAUAGAGACUGGCCAAUGCAUGGAGUUUGACAAGAGCUGAGAUGGUACAUAGGUAAGCAGGCUCUGGCCUUUGGCAGCUUCUCACACUAAGCCACAGGAAGCACUGAGCACUUUUAUGAAUCCAUACUGGAAUUCCACAGGCACUGGGCAAGAGCAGACGCAAGACCACAUUGCUAUCAGAUGAGCUGCUGGCUUUAUGGUGCCUUUAUGCCACUCGGGAGAGGACGCGAUGCAGCAGAGAGGCAGAACAGUACGGGAGAGUGAGUGGUGCCUCAUUGAGCAUCCCUCACGCUCAUACGAGGUUAACCCACCCACGAUUUUAAACAAGCAUGAGUAGCCAGAGCUAACUUAUCAAGGCUUUGCACCGUGUGGCAUUUGGCUUGGCGCUAGGCACCCUAAUGCUGCCUUCAGCGCAUUGCUGGAUCACGACUCUGAGCUGUGGCUUGGCCAGGGUGUUUGGAUGGGUUGGUAGAGGCGCCUGGCCAUGCAGUGGAGGUUUUGGCAUGUUCUCCUUCGUUGCCAGCACUGCAGCAGUGUGUGGGGUCCAGUUGCUGGGGCUACAAAUCACCGAGCCCCCUGGGCCGAGCCCUUGGGCUCCGCAGGGGUGUUUGACUCGCCGCAGCUGCUCUGUGCAACCUUGAACAUUAAAAUAUCUUUGCUUGUUGCUCAGACUCCCUUGUUUUCCUUUCGCUGGGUCUGCACAUCGUAGUGCCGUCUCAGGAGUCCUUCUCAGCAAAGGUCGCCCAAGUCAGGUUUCCAUACACAGGGAACAAUUUUCUCACCCUACACUGUAACCAUGGUGAUUUGUUUUCUUUUAAAUUCCUUUCCCUUAGGUUCAAUGCUAUCUUUAGAUGUCAUCCUGUUUUGACAAAUGUCGGUGUUGUUCCUGAUACUAUCAGGGAACUGUGGCAUGACAAGGACUGGCUUAAGUAACAGCUGCAUAACUGUGUCAGGAAUGAAAGAUACGGCUGGUGCCCUUUCUGGAAACACUCCCGUUUUUGGUGAUUCCUGCUCUGAUGCAGUGUCCAGCAGCCAGUCAUGGCCCAUCUUGCCCGGGUUUUCAUCUUUCCUGUUCCCUCAACCUUCUGCAAGCAGGUCAUCGUUGCAGAGUUUUGCUCACACUUUGGGCUUCACAGCCCGAGAGACUGGAGAGUUGGGAUGUACAAGGCUGGCAGGACAGGUAAAUGGGAACGGUGAAUGGGAAUUGAAGCCUGAAAUGGUUAACGCUGCCGAGAGCUGGGUCUCGACCCAGAAAAGUCCCAAGGCAUGUGUUUCCCCGAGGAUGACGGGGCUGGAAUAUGGGCCUAGAAAUGCUCUCCCUGACUCGCAGCACAGGCCAGUUGUGUUCUGGACACUGGUAAAAUGGGCAUCCGAGCAGUUUUGUUGGCUUUUUUUAUUCAAAGAGAACUUUAAAUUUGCCGUGCUGAAGCAAUGCAAGCAUCUUUUUGUUUUUUACAGCAUUUUGUAUUAAACCUCAGAUGCUCUGGGUGUAGUUGCCUGUCUCUCUGCAGACCUGUGUUUACCAGGGGUAACUCUACCAUACUGCCUUUGCUCAUUUCAAAGCCACAGUUUUCCUGCUGGUGUUCUCUCAGUGAUGCAGAUGUGAGCAGGAGGCGCACCUAUUCUCAGGCUUCCUAUCAUCUGUUGCUCAGUUCUUGCCCGUGUGCACCCAGCCAUUACCCGUGCAAAUCCAGCAAAUGCCACCCCAGGGAGCUGUUUUGGCAGCUAGAAGAGGUGCAUGGGGCAGCAGAGGGGCAGCAAGGCUGAGAGCCUCUCCUCUGGCAUCUCCGGUUCUUUAGGCACCCUGUGUCUGACCAUUCAAGUUCAUACUUCAGAGUCAUCAAAUCAAAAUAUUAUUGGAAAUCUGGCCUAAAUUAUAGACCAUACAGUCUGACAUCACCUUCAGCUAAAUCAUAAGAUGACAUUUCCUUCCUGUAAUGGACUGUAUAAACCUCAGCUUAAAAUGGCGAACAAAAUUAUCCCAUCAUUACCCAGCUGAUUUAAUGCCAGUGUGCAUUCAGAGGCACGGAGGUGAUCUUUAGCAUCACACAUGAACUUUAUGUUUCUUUAAUUAACUGCAUCAUACUGCAUGUUGGCAAGAAGCCCUAAUGAUACUUCAUCCUUCCAUCGACCGAACAGCAGAAAGUCGCAGGGAUAAUACUGUCAAGAAACAGGCUAGGUCUUGAUUUAAGGACUACUCUAAAUACCACAAAAGAAAAGCCUUUUUAAUAGUUCAAUAUUAUAUACUGAAAAUAUUUAUGCUGUGUGCAUUAGAGUUCCUUAGUAUAACCCAUUGGGACAAAAAUCAGUGCUAUAGCUGGGUCAAA